rnacentral:lncRNA from 1 species
ACACUUCCAUCAAACAGUACCUGCCCCUUAGGUGUGCUAGGGAAUAAAUGAAAUGCCUGGGACAUCAUCGUUAAGUGGCAUCUGAUGCAUAAGCAGUGCCCUAGGAAUGGGGUUGCCUGCCUUGGUCUCUAAAGGAUGGGUUCAAAAGGCAAGAGCAGCACACAAGAAGAUAGCUUCAAGCAGGAGAUAAAGCUUGGCCCAGGGCCCAAAGGGGAUACGACCCUUCAGCAAACUGACAUGCUGAAAGCUGCCCUAUGGAGAGGCUCAUGUGGCAAGGAACAGAGGGUGGCUUCUGGCCAACACCCAGUGAGGAACUCAGGCCCUCAGUCAAACAGCCUGCAAGGAACUGAACCCUGCCAAUAACCAGGCAGUGUCAGCCCCCGGCCAAUGACCACCAUGGACCUCCCUGUAGUUGAACAAAGUUGGGUUUGCUGACUGGUGGCAGUGAGGGAGAAUGCACACCACAGGGAGCUGUGCAGUGUCUCAGUAAGAAGCCAGGAGCCAUCCCGUGAGGCCGUUACUGCAAACAAGCUGAAAAUCCUGCUUUGUUUCUUUUGGACACAACAUGCUUUCCUUCAGCUUCAGUAGACGAUGAGGCCAGCACCACAUGGGCUAGAUGUACAUGAGAUGUGAGCAACCACACUUCCCCUCUGACGGGGACAGACAGCAUCACAGGACAUGAAGUUCUAAGAGGUUCAGUGACUUGUCUAAGAUUAAACAGCUAUGAAUGGAGAACUGGAGGCAAAUGAGGAUUCCCCAUUAAUGCCAUGAGUUCACUGCAGAGGUCAACACUGGGCAUACACUUCAAUCAUCCAUAAAGAAAAAUGGAGGCCUCAUCAUCUCUCACCUGGGCAACUGCAACAAUGAGCAGUUUGUGUCUGUGCCUGCAUCCAUCCUUCCAUCCUGUACUCCAGCAGCAGCCAGGGUGGUCUUUCAAAAAUGCAAAGCUGAUAAUGUUACUCCCCUGCUGUAAACCUUCCAGCGGUUUCCUAUUGCCUUCAGAAUAAAAUACGAAUCAUCUGGCCUCCA